rnacentral:rRNA from 1 species
GAUGAACGCUGGCGGCGUGCCUAAUACAUGCAAGUCGAGCGAACGGACGAGAAGCUUGCUUCUCUGAUGUUAGCGGCGGACGGGUGAGUAACACGUGGAUAACCUACCUAUAAGACUGGGAUAACUUCGGGAAACCGGAGCUAAUACCGGAUAAUAUUUUGAACCGCAUGUUUAAAAGGUAAAAAACGUCUUGCUGUUAACUAAUAGUGGAUUCCGCGCUGCUUUAGCUAGUUGGUAAGUUAACGGCUUACCAAGGCAACGAUGCAUAGCCGACCUGAGAGGGUGAUCGGCCACACAGGAACUGAGACACGGUCAGACUCCUACGGGAGGCAGCAGUAGGGAAUCUUCCGCAAUGGGCGAAAGCCUGACGGAGCAACGCCGCGUGAGUGAUGAAGGUCUUCGGAUCGUAAAACUCUGUUAUUAGGGAAGAACAUAUGUGUAAGUAACUGUGCACAUCUUGACGGUACCUAAUCAGAAAGCCACGGCUAACUACGUG